UGAAUUUUUAUGUAGGUAUUUUGUUGUAUUCUGCUCUGGUUCAAGGACUAAUGCAAAGAUAUAUAUUCUGCAGCCCUAGAGAGCUGCUGCUAGUCAGUGUAGACAGUACUGAGAUAGAUGGAUCAAUAAUCUGCCUUCCUAUGUUCCUCUCCCCAGCCGAGUGGACUAAGAGAUGCCAAAGACCCCUGCUUAAGAAGAGCUGCCAGUCAGAGUAGACAAUACUGAGUUGAUGGAUAAAUAUAGUGUGACGUGAUAUAAGAUCAGCAUAAGUUCCCAUGUUCAUCCUGCUCCUAAUGCAUUCCUCUCUUCCACUUCCACAUCCAUAGCCCUCCCCACCAGAAGCACUGGCGACCUGCACAGUGUGGCAACCGGACACGUUAAAACACCCAGCUGCUUCUAAUCAUCAGAAUGGCAAGGACCAGCUUCCUAAUGGCCUUGUCCAAUCAACGCCGCUGCUAAGAAUCUAGACCUUGUUCUACUAAGACUGGAAAACUUCAGAAGGAAAGGGGGAGGGGGGAGAGAGAAAUAACAACGUUUAAAGCAAUUUUCCUCCCUGCCAAACUACUCCAGAUGAUUUCUCAAAGAAGAAGAAAAAACCUGAACAAAUGGAAAAACUUUAACCCUUAGCCUUGAUUAAUUUCAUCUACAUAAUACAGAUGCUUGCAGCAAUCAGCCACUGAUGAGCAAGUCUUCCCUUAAUCGCCCGAGAGAAACCAAUGUCUGCGCAACACUCCAAUUGGUUUUUUCCACAAAGAUGAGCUUUUCAUCUGAAGAGACCCCGACAAGCACUCAGAAAAGGCCCAGAGAUGCAAGGUUUCUCCUCCACACUUUUGUUAUUACCACCAUUCUUAUAAACAGGCUUGGCCAGAGCAUCUCUUCACUGCCUGGGAAGAUCUCUCAGGCUCUGGCCAUACCCAGAAGACCUUGAAACCGACCCUGAAGGGAGAGAAGUAGGGACCCUUCCCUUCCUCUUGAGCCCAAGCACUGCCCAUGACCCCAGGGGACCCAACAUUCCUGCAGAGCAUUUAGGCCCCAGCAUUCAAAAGCUGCGACUCUGGAGGAUUUGAUGACAGUUGCCUGGGCUCCCAGCCAGAUCCCAGAACUGCAGCAAAGCCAAACAGGAACUAUGGCGCUGCUGGCAAUGUAACUUGCUAGAUGCACUGGGCUACUAAUCUUAUAAGACUACUCAAGAGGAGGAGAAAUCUGUGUAAAUGCCUGCUUUUGUCAGGGUCCAGUUGACAGCCAGGAAGGAGCAGAGGUUCCAACUACUAUGUAGGCUCUCUAUCUGAGCCAGACCACUGCUGGGCAAGCUGGUGGGCUGCAAGUUCCCAUCCAUGUCCAGCCAGCAGCUAGGCUCAUUUCCACUCCUGAACAAGAGGCAAUGGGGAAUAUCCAGGAUCUGAAUAGGGAAAGCAGAGCAGAUAAUAGCUUAAAUACUCAAUAACCUGAGCAUGCAGGUUGUAUCUAACACCAGUCAUGCUCAGAAGAGACACCUGGAAAUAAAUGGGCAUGACUGGCACAGGGUCAUUCAUUUAAAUGCGUCUACUCAGAGUAGAACUUAGUUGGCUUCAACCCAACCUUACUAAAAAGGCUUGUUUAGACACAACUGCCAAGCCAUGGUUUGUCCUAACUGUAGUGCAGGCACCAAACCAAAGUGUGUGCGCCAAACAAGCAAACUAUGGUUUAUAAAGUACAGCCUAGCAUCACCACUGAACAGCUGCUAGGACCCAGAAUGGGCAGGUUCGCCUGGGUGAUGGUGGUCCUUCAAGUAACUUGACGCCCACCAAUAGCCCUGAGCGUGGAGGCUGGAGCCAAAGAAACCAAUGAAGUUGAAGCAGGUAAAUUAAUGAGCUCCGGAGGGAGCCAUCACCCUAGCAAAAGUCUAGAGAAGACUGAGGGGGCUUGCAUACUUAUUUAUUAAUAUUACCUGUAUUCCAAUAUUCGUUUUUUAAAAAUAAAAUACCAAAGCACUUUACAUGGCAACAGAAACAAGAACACAGAACAAAAGGUAACAGUGGAAGUUAUCAGCAUCAAUGAUAGUAGCCAGAGGGGCCAGGAGCAGCUAUUAACUGUCUGGGAAAGAUUGAGGGAAGAACUUUGUUUUUCAUUGCGAGCAAAAGUGCCCAACCAUCGGCACCCAUCUGAUCACCAAGGGGAGAUUAGUCCACAAGUUAGGGGCCACCACAAAGAAAGCCAUUCUUAGCACCAACAAGAGGUGGGCAUCUGCAGGCUGCAAUACAGUUAUUAGGGUUUCCUUGCUGAUCACAGUGACCUCUACCUGGUCAUAGCCGACAGCAGGAUGAUGGCUUGCAGCUGGGUCUUCUCCCUUUUCCUGGGCAGAUCCUUCCUCCUGAGUAGCCUCCCUGCCAACAGCCCUGUCUGGCAGCGAAACAGGUACUCCUGUGCCUUUGAGCAUCCCGUGUGAUAAUGACUACCAGACAGUUAAUUUUGAUUCCUUUCAACACAGAAUCCAUGAGCUGAUUCAAGCUUUCAGGGAAAUAAUGUGAUAUAGUCUCCCAAGAGACGCGGGUGGCGCUGUGGGUAAAGCCUCAGCGCCUAGGACUUGCUGAUCGCAUGGUCGGCGGUUCGAACCCCCGCGGCGGGGUGAGCUCCCGUCGUUCGGUCCCUGCUCCUGCCC
rnacentral:lncRNA from 1 species